AUUUUUUUCUUUUUUGGUGUUAUUAUUUAUUUACUUCUAUUUUUUUUUUCUUUGUCAAAAGAUAGACUAAAUUCAGGGCCUAUCUCGUCCCAAACAAAUAAACCACCAUGUUUGUUAGUACAGGUGGCAACCGUGUGAGCAACCAGGUUGCUCCCCCACAGCACAAACCCUAUUUUGACAUCUCCAAUAUGCUUCACCAAAGAAUCAAUAUCAAACAGAAGACAUUCCAAAUCAAUAUCCACUUCAAUCUCCUUGUUAAUAAUUCGCAAUAGAACCUGGACAUCCGAUUCAAUCUCCACCUUGGUAAAUCCUUCGUUAUUGAAGUUUACGUCACUACUUUUGAUUGGUGGGUUCGUGUCUUAGGCCAGAUGUCCACAAUGUCGAGUUGUUUAGGUGGUGGCGGUGCUUCUUUCAUGCGACUUGCCUCAACUAAGAGAGAAAGAUGAUGCUUUAUGUCUUUAUGCUUUAUAUCUUGUCCAAGAUGAAAUUUUAUAGGAUGUCAUAGUAACGGUAUAAUCAUGUGGUGUUAUGCAAAAAAAAUUUGUGUAAAUCUCAGUUUACUACUCUUAAAUUCCGUAGUUUUCAACAUUUAGUACAUGAAGUUUUUUUCAUCCCAGAGUCAUACCUAAAGUGUUAAUUUUAGGGCAGUCUCAUACAUUCAUUAGUUUGGCUGUUAAGUCUCUCGUUAACUGAUGACGUUGCGCCCAUGUGUAUAAUGACUGGACGCCAUGUGUCAUUAAAAAAAUAUUAAAAUAUUAAAAUAAUUAAUUAAAUAAA
rnacentral:lncRNA from 1 species